rnacentral:snoRNA from 1 species
CCCUGUAUCGAAAGUGACUGGCACGACUGUUGCCAUAGUCAUUGAUGUUACGGGAAUUAUGACAAAGAUUUUCCCAUGUUUGUUGGAAUACCUUUUCCUGUCAAACCCGGUCUUUCAAACA